rnacentral:rRNA from 1 species
GACGAACGCUGGCGGCGUGCUUAACACAUGCAAGUCGAACGGAAAGGCCCUGCUUUUGUGGGGUGCUCGAGUGGCGAACGGGUGAGUAACACGUGAGUAACCUGCCCUUGACUUUGGGAUAACUUCAGGAAACUGGGGCUAAUACCGGAUAGGAGCUCCUGCUGCAUGGUGGGGGUUGGAAAGUUUCGGCGGUUGGGGAUGGACUCGCGGCUUAUCAGCUUGUUGGUGGGGUAGUGGCUUACCAAGGCUUUGACGGGUAGCCGGCCUGAGAGGGUGACCGGCCACAAUGGGCCUGAGGGACGGCCCAGACUCCUACGGGAGGCAGCAGUGGGGAAUAUUGCACAAUGGGCGGAAGCCUGAUGCAGCAACGCCGCGUGCGGGAUGACGGCCUUCGGGUUGUAAACCGCCUUCGCCUGUGACGAAGCGUGAGUGACGGUAAUGGGUAAAGAAGCACCGGCUAACUACGUG